rnacentral:rRNA from 1 species
GCUUGUCUCAAAGAUUAAGCCAUGCAUGUCUUAGUGUAAAUAACUCUUAUGAAACUGCGAAUGGCUCAUUAAAUCAGUUAUCAAAUACGUGAUGGUCGCCUACUACAUGGAUAACCGUAGUAAUUCUAGAGCUAAUACAUGCACAAAAUCCCGACUUACGAAGGGAUGUAUUUAUUAGAUACAAACCAACAUCGUGGUGAUUCAUAAUAACUUUGCGAAUCGUAUGCCUCACGGCGACGAUGAAUCAUUCAAGUUUCUGACCUAUCAGCUUCCGACGGUAGGGUAUUGGCCUACCGUGGCAAUGACGGGUAACGGAGAAUUAGGGUUCGAUUCCGGAGAGGGAGCCUGAGAAACGGCUACCACAUCCAAGGAAGGCAGCAGG